AUUGAACGCUGGCGGCAUGCCUUACACAUGCAAGUCGAACGGCAGCACGGGUGCUUGCACCUGGUGGCGAGUGGCGAACGGGUGAGUAAUACAUCGGAACAUGUCCUGUAGUGGGGGAUAGCCCGGCGAAAGCCGGAUUAAUACCGCGUACGAUCCACGGAUGAAAGCGGGGGACCUUCGGGCCUCGCGCUAUAGGGUUGGCCGAUGGCUGAUUAGCUAGUUGGUGGGGUAGAGGCCUACCAAGGCGACGAUCAGUAGCUGGUCUGAGAGGACGACCAGCCACACUGGGACUGAGACACGGCCCAGACUCCUACGGGAGGCAGCAGUGGGGAAUUUUGGACAAUGGGCGAAAGCCUGAUCCAGCAAUGCCGCGUGUGUGAAGAAGGCCUUCGGGUUGUAAAGCACUUUUGUCCGGAAAGAAAUCCUUGACUCUAAUACAGUCGGGGGAUGACGGUACCGGAAGAAUAAGCACCGGCUAACUACGUG
rnacentral:rRNA from 1 species